rnacentral:rRNA from 1 species
GUACACACCGCCCGUCGCUACUACCGAUUGGAUGGGUUAGUGAGGGGUGCGGCGGCUGGGGGCGCAAGCCAGCAGGCCAAAGCACAACAAACUUGCUCAUCUAGAGGAAGUAAAAGUCGUAACAAGGUAUUCGUAGGUGAACCUGCAGAAGGAUCA